rnacentral:rRNA from 1 species
GAAUCUUCCGCAAUGGACGAAAGUCUGACGGAGCAACGCCGCGGGAGUGAAGAAGGCCUUCGUGUCGUAAAACUCUGUUGUGAGGGAAGAACAAGCGUCGGAGUAACUUCCGGCAUCUUUACGGUACCUAAACAGACAGCCACGGCUCACGCCGCGGCAGCCGCCGCGGUAAUACGUGGGUGGCAAGCGGUGCCCGGAAUUAAUGGGAGUGAAGCGCGCGCAAGCCGUUUCUUAAGUCUGAUGUGAAAGCCCCCGGCUCAACCGGGGAGGGUCAUUGGAAACUGGGAAACUUGAGUGCAGAAGAGAAGAGCGGAAUUCCACGUGUAGCGGUGAAAUGCGUAGAGAUGUGGAGGAACACCAGUGGCGAAGGCGGCUCUUUGGUCUGUAACUGACGCUGAGGCGCGAAAGCGUGGGGAGCAAAC